rnacentral:tRNA from 1 species
AUUAAGAUGGUCGAUUAUAGGCAAUAAACUGUAAAUUUAUUUAUGAGAUUAAUAUUCUCUCUUAAUA